rnacentral:rRNA from 1 species
AUUGAACGCUAGCGGGAUGCUUUACACAUGCAAGUCGAACGAGUGGCGGACGGGUGAGUACUAUAUCGGAACGUUCCCAGUAGCGGGGGAUAACUACUCGAAAGAGUGGCUAAUACCGCCUACGUUUUGCGCGGCCCAUAUCGGAUUAGCUAGUUGGUGGGGUAAAGGCUCACCAAGGCAAAGAUCCGUAGCUGGUUUGAGAGGAAGACCAGCCACACGGGGACUGAGACACGGCCCAGACUUCGACGGGAGGCAGCAGUGGGGAAUUUUGGACAAUGGGGGAAACCCUGAUCCAGCCAUCCCGCGUGUAUGAGAAGGCCUUCGGGUUGUAAAGUACUGUUGGCAGAGAAGCGGUAUCUGCAGAAUAAGCACCGGCGAACUACGUGCCAGCAGCCGCGGUAAUAC